rnacentral:rRNA from 1 species
CCCUUAGAUGUUCUGGGCCGCACGCGCGCUACACUGUUCGACGCAGCGAGUCUUAACCUUGACCGAAAGGUUUGGGUAAUCUUCAGCAAAGUCGAACGUGAUGGGGAUCGAUCAUUGCAAUUAUUGAUCGUGAACGAGGAAUACCUUGUAGGCGCAUGUCAUCAUCAUGCGCCGAAUACGUCCCUGCCCUUUGUACACAUCGCCCGUCGCUCCUACCGAUUGAGUGAUCCGGUGAGGCUCUGGGACCUGGACGGAAAGAGCGUUUCGCUUGUUCUGUUUGGGAAACUUGGUCGAACCUUAUCAUUUAGAGGAAGGAGAAGUCGUAACA